GGGUAUCUGUAUUUUGGGUUUGGCGCUUCUUGGUUUGGGUGAGAUUUUUCUUUGUAGGCGGAUCCAUGAUGUGGGUACAACCCGAUUCACUAUGCAUUCGGAUCUUAUACAAAUCCCUACCCAAGAUACGUUUCUUUCCUAACCCUAGACAUCUCCUUCAUCUAUGCAUUGAAGCAGAAGAUUGAAUAAGGUUCAAUCUUUUUGAAACUUCAUAAUCAAAUUUGGAGCAAUCAAGUAAUCAAAUCUUCAUGGACGCAUCAAGUAAUCAAAUCUUCUUUCCGAUUUGUAUUAUUAAGGGCAUGAAGGAUGAGCGAUUGCUGAAUAAUUUCUGGCUACAACCGUAGUUGCGAAGAUGUAUGUUGAUCAGUUUUUCUGAGCUUGCUCUUGCAUUGCGCUUUGAUGGCUGGCUGAUAAAUAUGGAGGCCAGUUUAAAUGUCUAAAACAUUCCGCUUUUGAAAGAAUUUGUGAGUCAUUUGACAUAGUCAAUUGAAUGAUAGUAGCAAACCUUUUUUGAUGUAUGUGAUGGACUGAUGGCAUAUUCCUGAACUAUUCAUGGCAGGUAUUUUAGCAAAGUUCCAUUUUAUUUGAUUAUUUGAUAUAAAAGUUUUUUCCAUUCUUAUGAAAUAUAGUGUUUACAAUGUAAGAAGAUCAUGCGCGCCUCUCAGCUGUUGUUUCCGGUAACAAAAAGGUUGAUGUCUAAAUGGGAAUUGCUGUUUUUGGUAGAGCCGUAGAGGCACUUAUGGUGGUGGACAAUGGAAAUAGACCAAUGUGGCUCUUGAUGUAAUAUAGAAGAAUAAUAUGUCAGCAGCUCUUUGCCAUCAAGCUAUGACUAUCAUUGUAGAGGAAUAUAACGUCCAACCGUUGAAGUGUCCAGUUUCGAUUUGCGGUGAUAUUCUUGGUCAAUUUUACGUCUCAUUGAGCUGUUUCAGAUUGAUGGAAGUACACCUGAUACAAAUUAUCUCUUCAUGGGAGAAUACAUAAGGUAUUCUUCGACCAAUUACUGUGAUUUUUUAUCACCGAGAGGUUUUUUUGCAUUUUGAAUACCUAUUAGGUGACCUUCGACCCAUUUCCAAUAAACUUUUAGUGGCAAAAUAUAACCCGAAAUGACAUUUUUUAAUUUUUGAUGGGUCAAGAAUGUCACACCUAUUUGCUUUAACUGGGUGUUGCUUGUAUUUCUUCCUGUCAUUUUCAUUAUGUUCUAAUAAUGGUGUUUCUAUUAAAUUUUGGAUUUUCUGUGGUCUCUGUAUCAUUUUGUAAUAUUCACAUGUAGCUUGGAAGUUUUACAGGCCCAGACUUAUCUGGUUUGGUUCUAGCCUGCAUAUAGAAGCUAUUGUUUAUGGUC